rnacentral:tRNA from 1 species
GCCUGGCUGGCUCAGUCAGUAGAGCAUGCGACUCUUGAUCUCAGGGUUGUGAGUUCGAGCCCCAUGCUGGGUG